GACCCGACUGCUAUUUGGGUGAGAAUAAGCCAUGCGAGUCGAAUGGGAUACCUAAAUUUUCCAUGGCAAACUGCUCAUUAACACAUGAUCAACUUACCCUAUAGAGAAAAAUAACCUCGGGAAACUGAGGAUAAUGUUUCGUAGUUGAAUAGGCUUGGAAAAGUUUUUCAAUAAAAGGGAUAAAAUAAAUGGUUUUUAUCUGCUAUAGGAUAGGAUCGUGGACGAUUAUGGUUGUUGGUGAGGUAACGGCUCACCAAGCCGAUAAUCGAUAGGGGCCGUGAGAGCGGGAGCCCCGAGAUGGGUACUGAGACAACGACCCAGGCCUUACGAGGCGCAGCAGGCGCGGAACCUCCGCAAUACACGAAAGUGUGACGGGGUUACCCAAAGUGUUCAAUUCUGAACUGUGGUAGGUGAGUAAUGUCCCCUACUAGAAAGGAGAGGGCAAGGCUGGUGCCAGCCGCCGCGGUAAAACCAGCUCUUCAAGUGGUCGGGAUAAUUAUUGGGCUUAAAGUGUCCGUAGCCGGUUUAGUAAGUUCCUGGUAAAAUCGGGUAGCUUAACUAUCCGUAUGCUAGGAAUACUGCUAUACUAGAGGGCGGGAGAGGUUUGAGGUACUACAGGGGUAGGGGUGAAAUCUUAUAAUCCUUGUAGGACCACCAGUGGCGAANGCGUCAGACUGGAACGCGCCUGACGGUGAGGGACGAAAGCCAGGGGANCGAACCGGAUUAGAUACCCGGGUAGUCCUGGCCGUAAACGAUGCAUACUA
rnacentral:rRNA from 1 species